rnacentral:misc_RNA from 1 species
GAAACCCAUCAGAUUGGGUGACCCUUCUAAGCUGAAACCUCUUUAAGAUGGCAUUUUCCUUUCAUAUUUAUUUCAAUUCUUUGCUUUGUCCUGCAAGUUUGUUGGAUAAGAAUGCCUGGGCAUUUGUGUAGCACUUUGGCUUUACAUCAAUGGGAAUUUCAAGGAGAUUUUGUGGAAAAGCUGAGUCCUAUACUGUUCUAGAGACAUAGCCUUAUUUGAUAAUCACAACCAAGUCAAAAUAUCAAAACAUUCCAUUAAG